rnacentral:rRNA from 1 species
UACGGGGGGGGCAAGCGUUGUUCGGAAUUACUGGGCGUAAAGGGCGCGUAGGCGGUCAGACCAAGUCGAGUGUGAAAUUCCAGGGCUUAACUCUGGCACGCUCGCUCGAUACUGGUCGGCUAGAGUACGGAAGAGGCGAGUGGAAUUCCUGGUGUAGCGGUGGAAUGCGCAGAUAUCAGGAGGAACACCAAUAGCGAAGGCAGCUCGCUGGGACGUUACUGACACUGAGGCGCGAAAGCGUGGGGAGCGAACAGG